CAGGUGCUGCAUGGCUGUCGUCAGCUCGUGUUGUGAAAUGUUGGGUUAAGUCCCGCAACGAGCGCAACCCUUAUCCUUUGUUGCCAGCGGUCCGGCCGGGAACUCAAAGGAGACUGCCAGUGAUAAACUGGAGGAAGGUGGGGAUGACGUCAAGUCAUCAUGGCCCUUACGACCAGGGCUACACACGUGCUACAAUGGCGCAUACAAAGAGA
rnacentral:rRNA from 1 species